GAAAAAACUAAGAAAAAAGAAACUCUAAAAUUAGGACUCAACUGUCGAGGAGGGAGGCAGUUAGCGGGCUUUAGCUCCUUUUCUGGAGGGGGUAGAUAUGAAGCGGUUUAAAGGAUUGGACCAAAAGAAGAGGAAACUCUACCAGUGCAAGAGCCAAGGGAUCAGUUGUCCUUGUUUUUUUUUUUUUGGUCUUGCCUUCAUUUGAAGAUUAAGUAUUGGAGCCAUGGGAAUAAAGAUUCAAUGUCCUCGAUUUUUUUUUUUUUGACAUUGCCAUUAACAACCUGCUGGAAGAGUUGUCUUUGAAUUAUUUUCUGAUGUGUGCCCCAAAACACGUGAGAAGUUUAGUUGUCUUUGUACAGGUGAAAGGGGGACAGGGAAAUCAACUCAGAGCCAUUACAUUGUAAGAGUUGUCUCUUUCAGAGUUGUCAAGGAUUUUAUGGUUUAAGGUGCUGACUUCAGUGAAGGAAAUGGACGAGGAGGGGAAUCUAUCUAAGAAGAAUUUUUUGAAGAUGAGAAUUUUGCUGUUAAAAACAACAAAGAAUUUCUCUUGUCAAUGGCCAACAGAAGGAAGGAUACAAAUGGUUUACAGUUCUUCAUAACAAUGAAACCAACUCUUCAUUUAGAUGGGCAUCAUGUUGUUUUUGGGCAAGUAAUCUCUAGCCAAGAAGUUGUGAGAGAGAUAGAAAACCACAAGAUGGAUGCCGCUAGCAAAGCAUUUACAGAGGUACAGAUACUCAGUUGUGGAGAGCUGAUUCCCAAAUCUAAAGUUAAGAAAGAAGAAAAGAAAAUGUAUAAAUCAUCAUCAUCUUCCUCCUCAUGAUCUAGUGACUAAGAUAGC
rnacentral:lncRNA from 1 species